CCCCAACCAUGCUCCGCCAGAUCCUCGGUCAGGCCAAGAAGCAUCCAAGCUUGAUCUCCCUCUUUGUAUUUACUGGAGCAGGAGGUACUGGGGCAGUGCUGUAUGUCACGCGCCUGGCACUGUUCAAUCCAGAUGUCUGUUGGGACAGAAAGAAUAACCCAGAACUCUGGAACAAACUGGGUCCCAAUGAACAAUACAUGUUCUGCUCCGUGAAUGUAGAUUACAGCAAGCUGAAGAAGGAACGUCCAGACUUCUAAAUGAAAUGUGUCACUAUAAAGCUGCUUAGAAUGAAGGUCUUCCAGAAGCCAUCCGCACAAUUUUCCACUUAACCACAAAAUAUUUCCCCCCCAAAUGCACGAAAUCAUGUUGCUGUAUUGUGUUGGGGCUUACACUGAUUAAUAAAUAUUUGAAACUUG